rnacentral:rRNA from 1 species
AUGUACGCCCUGUCUCCCCCCGGCGCCGAACGGCCCGUCGGCGUUGUCUCGCGGGCGCCCUACUACUCGUCGUACCCGCCGCAGACGGACCUCCUGCUCUCGGGGUUGUACCAGUGGGCCGGCGACGCCAAAGCCUUCGACGGCGACGGCCUUGACACGGUAACAGCCGUCCAUUCUCAGAUCAACGGCUGUGAUGAUGAUCUGGGCUGCGAAGCGGUACGAGUUCCCUGCCUCCCUUGGAUGGUAGAUCAACGGCUGUCGUUCGUCUGGGCAAACUGUAUCGGUACUGUGGCAUUUCUAGUGUUGUCGAGAGGAGCAGGCCUGACACGGCCACAUCGAGCCGGUCUGUUCGCCCAACAACCCCGACGGCGCCAUCCGCGAUGCCGUCCUGAGCUCCGAGUACGGCAAGGCGAUCCACGACCUGGUCUACUACUGGCCCCAGUACACGCCCAUCACCGGCGCCGCCGCCCACGACGUCAUGCUCUUCACCAUGUCCAAGGUCACCGGCCACGCCGGCGCCAGGCUCGGGGGUGGGCGCUCGUCAAGGACCGCGACGUGGCCAAGAAGAUGGUCUACUUCGUGGACCAGAGCACCAUCGGCGCGUCCAAGGACUCGCAGCUCCGCGCCGCCAAGAUCCUCGCCGUUGUCUCCGACGCCUACGGCCCCGGCGAGGACGACACGCGGCUCCGCCUCUUCGACUUCGCGCGGCGACGCAUGGGGGAGCGCUGGCGGGCCCUGCGCGCCGCCGUGGCGGCCACCGGCGCCUUCAGCCUCCCGGAGGAGACCACCGGCUACUGCAACUUCACCAAGCAAACCGUGGCAGGUUACCCCGCAUUCGCGUGGCUGCGCUGCGAGAAGGAUGGCGUGGAGGACUGCGCCGAGUUCCUGCGCGGCCACAGCAUCGUGGCGCGGGGCAGGGAGCAGUUCGGGGGAGACGCCAGGUGCGUCAGGGUCAACAUGCUGGACAGGGACGGUUGUUGUAGGGCUCUGUGCAUCCGUAAUGUUGGGAAGAUGGUGUUGGCUGGUGUCCACAGUAUUUCUUUAGAGAGCUGGUGCCUUCAGCAUUGGGUGAAGAGCCGGCGUCUCAGAACUGGACGUCGGCGGGUGGAAACACCGGCGAUGAUGGAUGACAACAAGGGCCAAGGCGAGAUCCAGAUCGCCCAACUCAAGUUACGAAACCGUCACCCUAGGGAUGAACUCAACUGUUCCUUGCUCUGUCACCCUAGGGACGGAGCAAGGAACUUCCCUGCGGCUGUGCCGUCUGACCUGGAAAAUGUUGGCUCAACAGUUAUGGACACAGGGGCGGAGCCCAUUGGGCCGUCCCGUCUGUGUAGACUAGACGCGUACAGAUCCGGCCCCUCCAUACGCCUCGCCCUCGCGUACACAGGCGGCGGCGGCGGCGGCGGCGGCGGCAGGGCACCGGCCGCCGGACGCCGCAGGCCACGAACCCCGAGUCCUUUGGUGAUGACGCGAUGCACGCGAGCGACGCCGCACGCCGUCGGCCGGUCCAGCGCUCCGUAA